rnacentral:rRNA from 1 species
AACGUAGGAGACAAACGUUAUCCGGAGUUACUGGGCGUAAAGGGCGUGUAGGCGGUCUGUUAAGUCUGGCGUGAAAACUCUCGGCUAAACCGGGAGAGGUCGUUGGAUACUGGCAGACUAGAGGACGGUAGAGGCGUGUGGAAUUCCGGGUGUAGUGGUGAAAUGCGUAGAGAUCCGGAGGAACACCAGUGGCGAAGGCGACACGCUGGGCCGUACCUGACGCUAAAGCGCGACAGCAUGGGGAGCAAACGGG